UUUUACAAUUUCCUGCUUCUUGUCAAACGUUUAUACUUUCCACGUGUACUCUUCUGCCUUUUUUUUUCAUGUGUUCCCUUCUUCUUCUUUUCUCUUUAUCUUUCGUUCAGCCUUCGCUUCUGUUUUCAUACGUCCUUGCUUCUUUCUGUCCCAGGUAAUCUUCUUGUGUUCUUCUUUUAUUGUUUCUUCCGUUGUGGUAUUUUUGUUUACUUUAUUCCUGUUGUGUCAUCCGCCUGUUUUCUGAUGGCUGUUCCGGCCAAAUGGAGGCCUCAAGACGGUGCUUCCUCCUCUAUUGGUGGCCCUCGCAAGUCUCGACGUCUUGCAGCCUUUUCUGAUCGUCCCCAGUACAUCAAUUUCGGUGUCUGUAGUUGCAUUUGUGAGUUUUGCGGUGCAUUUUCUGGUAUAUUAAGAGGGUCCUUAAGGUAUCUGUGUCUGCUUAUCUGAUGUAUAAUCCUUGGCGUAUGGAUGGGGGUGUAGUCCUUCCUUACCCUUCUAGGCUUUCCUCUGAAUUCGUUGACCUGUAUCAAAUGCACGCUUUUUGAAGGACAUUAGGGCUUAUAAUAGCAUGUUUUCCAUGCCUUCCUUUGGGGAAAAUGUAGAUGAGGAUGUGAAUGAUAACCAUGGUCCUUAUGUUUUUAAGAUAUCGGGUCAGAUUAGUCACACGAUAGGGUUUCUCUCUCCGGAUCCUGCAAAGGGUCUCAGGUUUCUGCAGCUUUAUCUCUUCGAUACUGAGAACGAACUAGAGAAUAGAUUUCGGGCUUUUGAUGGUCCUAGAAAGAGGGAUUUAGAUUGUAAUAUUGUUCAAUUUAUAGUAAACUUUUUGGGGGCUAACAACGAGUAUGUGCGGACCUUCAUGACUAGUAAACAGAUGGCCGGUGAAAAUAAUUUACAGUCCUAUGCAGUGCAACUGUUUAACAAUGUUGCUGAUCGUAGGUGUGAUUUGCCUUCGCCUGGAUCAUUGGGUUGCAUAGUAAGCGGUGAUGACACAACGUGUUCCACGUAUGACAUUCUUAUCUAUUUUCAUUCGGGUCGGCCUCAACGUAUCAGUAAGCUGCAUUCGAGCUAUAUGCCUUUACAAUACCCACUUUUGUUUCCACAUGGCGAGGAAGGUUGGUCGCCCCAUUUGAAGAUGGGUAAUCGGAGAGGCGUAACCGCUAAAAAUCUGAUUGUGAAUAUGUAUUAUGCAUAUAAUAUCCAUGCUCGUCAGUACAUCUAGUCUCCUAUUAUAAACGCCUCUCGCCUGUUCCAACAAUAUUUGGUUGAUGCAUACACAUGUAUAGAAGAAGGGCGUUUAGACUACAUCAUCAACCAUCAAGCUAACCUUCGGUCCGAUUAUGUUAGUGGCCUCCAUGACGCCCUUUCGAAGGGGGACACAGAGACACGCGUUGUUGGCAAACAUAUGUUCUUACCUGCGUCAUUUACUGGCGGUCCCCGGUUCAUGUACAACCAUUAUCAAGAUGCACUUUCUAUAUGUAGGGUCUAUGGCAAUCCACAAUACUUUAUCACAUAUACAUGUAACGUCAAGUGGCCAGAGAUAACCCGCUAUAUGGAUACACAUGGACAAAGAGAUGUCCACAGUAGAGCGGAUAUCAUUGCCAGAGUCUUCAACAUCAAAGUUCAUGAGUUUAUCAACUUUCUUAAAGAGAACAUAACCUUUGGUGGGGUUGAUGCAUAUUUGUACACCAUUGAGUUCCAGAAGAGAGGUCUUCCUCAUUGUCACACUUUACUAUGGGUAAAAAGCUCAGACCGAAUAAAAAAUGUAGCUGAUGUUGACACGUAUAUUACAGCCGAGCUGCCAGAUCCAAUCACAGAGCCCGACUUGUACGAGACGAUAACAACUUGCAUGAUCCACGGCCCAUGUGGACCACUUAACCAAAAAGCUCCAUGUAUGAAAGAUGGUAAAUGUAGUAAACAUUUCCCUAAACCCUUUCUUUUACGCUACGUUGUUCAACACGGAGGGAUAUGUACGCUACAAACGUGGGUCAUCUACACACCAUACCACCUAAUAUAGACGGGUUAUAGACAACGUAUAUGUUGUGCCCUUUUGCUCACGAUUCCGUGCACACAUUAAUGUCGAGUACUGUGGCUGGAACAUGGUGAUUAAGUACCUAUUCAAAUACAUUUCCAAGGGAGCUGAUCGUGUAAGAUACGCUAUCCAAAAGGCGGAAUCACUCUGGGGAUUGUCGAGCUAGUAGUGGGUGCCACAGGUGUAGCAAGGAGGGGCACUAUGCAAAGAAUUGUCGCCAGUCCGCCCCUACCUCGGAUAUGAGGAUAUGUUAUCAUUGUCAUAAGGUUGGUCACGUGAAGACCAACUGUCUACAGCUCGCAGCCAGGCCGGUGUAGGCUCUAGUGCCGGCUACAUCAAGGAUUACGGAUGGGAGGCCAGGUAGAGCGGAGCCUCGGAAGGCUCAGGGGCAUUCCUUCUAGCUCACUGCAUAGGAGGUCGGGGCAGCACCAUAUGUGGUUGCUGGUACUUCUAGUGAUCGCGGGAAGGCGAAGGCAUAAUCGUACAACUCCUCAUGUUAUUAUGAUUUUAUGAUUUGAUACUGGGAUACUCUGAUAUUUAAUAUUUUGAAAACAAACUUUGUAAUGUUAAAUGGUUUGAAAUGUUUUAAAAAGUUUAAAUUUGACACGAUUUUUAUGAGUGUUACAGAAA